UUUCCGGUUGAUCCUGCCGGAGGUUACUGCUAUCGGGGUUCGACUAAGCCAUGCGAGUCAAAUGUUCUUCGUGAACAUGGCGAACUGCUCAGUAACACGUGGAUAAUCUACCCUUAGGUCCGGGAUAACCCCGGGAAACUGGGGAUAAUACCGGAUAGAUCAUAGACGCUGGAAUGCCCUAUGGUCCAAGCUCCGGUGCCUAAGGAUGAGUCUGCGGUCUAUCAGGUUGUAGUGGGUGUAACGUACCUACUAGCCGACGACGGAUACGGGUUGUGAGAGCAAGAGCCCGGAGAUGGAUUCUGAGACACGAAUCCAGGCCCUACGGGGUGCAGCAGGCGCGAAAACUUUACAAUGCAGGAAACUGCGAUAAGGGAACCCCGAGUGCCAGCACCAAGUGUUGGCUGUCCAGAUGAUUAAAGAUCAUUUGUUAGCAAGGGCCGGGCAAGACCGGUGCCAGCCGCCGCGGUAACACCGGCGGCCCGAGUGGUAACCGUUUUUAUUGGGUCUAAAGGGUCCGUAGCCGGUCUGAUCAGUCUUUUGGGAAAUCUGGCAGCUUAACUGUCAGGCUUCUAAGAGAUACUAACAGACUUGGGACCGGGAGAGGUAAGGGGUACUCUAAGGGUAGGAGUGAAAUCUUGUAAUCCUUGGGGGACCAACUGUGGCGAAGGCGCCUUACCAGAACGGGUCCGACGGUGAGGGACGAGAGCUAGGGGAGCAAACCGGAUUAGAUACCCGGGUAGUCCUAGCUGUAAACGAUGCUCGCUAGGUGUCAGGCACGGUGCGUCCGUGUUUGGUGCCGCAGGGAAGCCGUGAAGCGAGCCACCUGGGAAGUACGGUCGCAAGGCUGAAACUUAAAGGAAUUGGCGGGGGAGCACUACAACGGGUGGAGCCUGCGGUUUAAUUGGAUUCAACGCCGGA
rnacentral:rRNA from 1 species